rnacentral:tRNA from 1 species
GCCGGCGUGGUGAAAUGGCAGACACGGCAGACUCAAAAUCUGCUGUCCGCGAGGACGUAUGAGUUCAAGUCUCAUCGCCGGCA